UUAAAACUGAAAACUUUAAUGUUUUUAUAUUUUACAUAAAGCUCAUAAACUUCAAUGUAUUCUAAUGGGACGUUUACACGAAAACCAACAAUUUUCAUGUAUUUUAUUGCAUAAAAACCUUCAAAUGUGUUUUUUGUCAAAAGUUUUACAUAAAAACAAAAAUCUUUGAUGUAUUUUACAUGAAAAUGGUCUCAAGACAACAUUAUCGUUUAUCUCAAUAACUUCAGUAACAAUUAUGUUUGUUAUAUUUUCCUCAUUUCUAACCUUAUCUGUUGUUCUUUUAUCUGAAUUAGUUUUCUCUCUUUAUCGCUCCGCUGAGUUUCUCCACCUGUUUCUGAGCUGCAGCUUCUCUCCCUCCUUUCUUCGUUGCUUUACGAGCGAAACUGUUUAGUGCUCAGAGUUUGAAGGCACUCGAGGUCAUAAAGGAGACGGAGGGAAGGGGCGGGGGGCCGGAUGAGCGCCGCGCCGCGCCGGUCGGCCGGUCAGGUGCGGCGCCACCAGUGAUCAUUAGGGUUACAGCUGCCCGGCCCAGAUUGUGUGCUGCCUGCACCAGGCGAGAUGUUCUGCCCAGGGAGAGGAGCGAGCAUCUGUCUGUCCCUCCCCGUAGACAGCCGCCUCCUACCAGCCUGUCCAACUCAACCCAACUGAACAGCCAUGCAGAAAAAGGUGUGUGAAAUGUAACGUGUCGUUCACACCAGCCCUGUUCAGUCCGCUUUGAUCCAACUACAGAAGUGGACUACAGGGCAAGGCAUUCUGGUGGUUCUUGAUGCAGCGCCCCCACAGGCCAGGAGGG